rnacentral:rRNA from 1 species
AUUGAACGCUGGCGGCAUGCCUUACACAUGCAAGUCGAGCGGCAGCGCGGGGGCAACCCUGGCGGCGAGCGGCGAACGGGUGAGUAAUACGUCGGAACGUGUCCAGUAGCGGGGGAUAACCUGUCGAAAGAUAGGCUAAUACCGCAUACGACCUUCGGGUGAAAGCGGGGGACCGCAAGGCCGCGCACUAUUGGAGCGGCCUAUGUCGGAUUAGCUAGUUGGCGGGGUAACGGCCCACCAAGGCGACGAUCCGUAGCUGGUCUGAGAGGACGACCAGCCACACUGGAACUGAGACACGGUCCAGACUCCUACGGGAGGCAGCAGUGGGGAAUUUUGGACAAUGGGCGCAAGCCUGAUCCAGCCAUGCCGCGUGAGUGAAGAAGGCCUUCGGGUUGUAAAGCUCUUUCGGCGGGGACGAAACGGUCCGUGCCAACACCACGGAUCAAUGACGGUACUCGCAGAAGAAGCACCGGCUAACUACGUGCCAGCCGCCGCGGUAA